AGAUGUAUCGGCCACAUACUUCCUCAACAUCGAAACAUGGAAAACAUUAUGAACUGCAGAGAGUGAUGGUGGUAAUGCCAAGCGAUACGCCACAACACCAACCCUCUCUAAGAUCUCAAAUGGUCCAACAAAACGAGGACUUAACUUUCCUUUCUUCUCAAAACGCAUAACACCCUUCAUAGGUGCUACCUUCAAGAAUACCUUUUCUCCCACAUCGAACUUAAGGUCUUUUCGCCGUACAUCUGCAUAACUCUUCUGUCUACUCUGCGCUGUUUGCAUACGCGUUCUAAUCUUUUGAAUAGCCUCAUUAGUAGACCGAACUAAUUCAGGUCCCAUCAAUCUAUGUUCACCAACCUCACUCCAACAAACAGGGGUUCUACAACAUUUGCCAAAGAAAGCCUCAAAUGGUGCCAUACCGAUGGUAGCCUGAAAACUGUUGUUAUAAGCAAACUCCAUCAAAUGUAGAUGAGAGUCCCAACUACCUGGAAACUCUAUAACACAAGCUCGUAGCAUAUCCUCUAAAACUUGGUUCAAACGUUCAGUUUGACCAUCAGUCUGUGGAUGAAAGGCUGUACUGAAAUCCAAUCUCGUACCCAUAGCAGUCUGAAGUCCCUUCCAAAACUUGGAAGUAAACCGUGCAUCCCUAUCAGAAACAAUCGAUACAGACACUCCAUGCAGUCUCACAACCUCAGUUAAAUACAACUGUGCCCACUUACUAGCAGUAAAAGUGGAUUUCCCUGGUACAAAAUGUGCCGAUUUCGUAAGCCUGUCUACAAUAACCCAAAUCACUGUGAAACCCUUCAGGGUUUUAGGCAAUUAUAUAAUAAAAUCCAUAGAUACAUUCUCCCACUUCCACUCUAAUAUACUCAAAGGUUGCAACAAACCUGUUGUUUUCUAUCUUGGUGCUUUAACCUACUAGCACACCAAGCACUUACUAACAAGAUUUUCCAUUUCUCUCUUCAUAUUACGCUAGUAACAAACUCUUUUCAAUUCCGGAUACAUUUUUGUGCUACUUGGAUGCAUGAGAAAUGGGAAACUAUGAGUCUCAACCAAUAACCUUGUCUUAAUUGCAUUUUCUGUUGGCACACACAAUUUUCUUUCAAACAUAAGUUCAUCAUCAAAGGAUAUGGAAAACUCCUUAACUUGCCCUACUUCUACUAGGUGAUGCUUCUCAAUCAAAUAAGGAUCAAUGAAUUGAACCACAAGAAUUCUUUGUCUCAAGGUCGGAUGUACUGACAACUGAGCUAACUUUGAGGUGACUUCCCCCACUGAAACUACAAUCUCAGCUCUCUCGUGGUUUUUGUCUAAUGAAACCUGUCUGGUAAUAAGUGCUGUCAAAAUGUGAUACUUUUCUACGAAGAGCACCAACUUCCACAUUCGCCUUACCUAGAUGGUACAAAAUCUCACAAUCAUAGUCAUUUACUAAUUCAAACCAUCUUUGCUAUCUCAUACUCAACUUCUUUUGAGUGAAGAAGUAUUUUAUACUCUUUUGGUUAGAAAAUAUCUAUAUCUUUUCAUCAUACAUAUAGUGCCUUCAAAUCAUUAAUGUAAAAACCACAACUGUCAAUUCCAUAUCAUAAGUUGGACAAUUUUCCUCAUGACUCUUCAACUGACGAGGAGUACAAGCAACUACUUUAACUUGUUGAAUCAGAAUACCUUUUAAACUUUCCUAAAAGCAUCACUAUAAAUUACGGAACAUUCUGAACCAUCAUGUACGGUAAGCACGGGAGUUGUACAAGCUUCUGCUUAAGAUCCUGAACACUAUCCUCAUAGGCUUUGUCCCAAACAAACAGAGUCCCUUUUCUUAGUUAACUGAGUCAAAGGAGUAGCUAUACGAGAAAAUUCUUAUACAAACCGUUAGUAAUAACCUGCUGAACCCAAAAAGACUACGAACCUCACUGACUAUGAAAAGUUGAGGCCAACUGGUAACGACUUCAAUCUUUUAUGAGAUCCACAUAAAUGUCAUCUCUAGAUACCACAUGGCUUGGAAAGAUACUUGGCCUCAUCCAAAACUCACAUUUUGAAAACUUUGCAUACAAUUUGUUGACUCGAAGAGCCUCUUAAAACCAUGUUAAAUGCUCCUCAUGCGCUGUCUCUAUUUUGGAAUAAAUUAAGAUAUCGUCAAUAAAUACAAUCACGAAAGUGUCUAAGAGAUCGUUAAACACUUUGUUCAUCAAGUCGUAAACAUUGUUUGAGCAUUUGCCCACUCAAAAGACAUCAUAAUGAACUCAUGAUGUCCAUAUCUCGAACGAAAAUCUGCCUUAGGAAUGUCACUGUUCUCUAAUCCUCAACAAGUCAUAACCUGAAUGUAAUUCAAUCUUAAAGAACACGGACUUAUUGCAGUUGAUCAAACAAAUCCUCAUUCAUUGGUAAAAGAUAUUUAUUCUUAACCGACACCUUAUUCAACUUUCUACAAUCAAAACAUAAGUGCAUCGACCCAUCUUUCUUCUUAAUAAACAAAAAUUGGUGCACCCCAAGAUAACAUACUUCGUCGAAUGUAGUCCUUGUCAAACAUUUCUUUCAAUUGCACCUUCAAAUCUUUCAACUCUGUUGGGGCCAUUUUGUAUGAAGCUUUAGAUAUAGGAACGAGUCUAACUCUAUCUCAAUAACAAGACCAAUUUCUGUUUAGCACGGUAAUCUUAGAAACUCUUCUAGAAAAAUAUCAUAAUACUUUUUCACCACUGAUUCAAAUAACAAAGAAACAUCGACUUCUCUGGUGUCUACCACACUAGUCAAAUACAACAGGUACCCUGGUCAAGCAACUUACUAACCUUCAUAGUUGGGAUAACUUUUAGCGAAACGAUAGUUCCAACCUCUUUGUACUUGAAACUAGCCUCUGGAGAAGGAUUAGAAACUACAUUUUCGCUGAACAUUUUAUGUUUACAUGGUUAAACUACAUUCCAAUUUUCAAACUCCAAACUAGUAACUUUUCAUUCACGAGAAACUCAAAAUUGUUUCUUAAAGUCACAUCAAGACAACCAUGCUCAUCUUCCUUGUUUCUUUUCCAAUACCUCCAUUCUAAAACCAUUUAAUGUGUUUCGUAUAAACUUGACCGUGUAUUUAGUCCUCUUUAAAACCACCUACAUAACUUAUUUUUCUUAGAUUUCCAAUCACAAAACAGACAAUUUCGCUAACAACGUCUUACUUUUCUACUACUCGACCACUCCUUUGAACACCUCUACAUGGCAACAUUUUUCCUAAAUUUCACCAUUAAAUCCUUCACCAUUAAAUCAUAACAUUCAUGUAAUUCUAGUUUAACUUAGGCAAGGUCAUAUACAUAAACCAUACAUAUAAGCAUAAAGCAUACCUGACGAGAGACGAAGGGUCGCGUUAGCCAUAGGGACACAAAAACAUAGACUUACAUCGUAAGUCAGUCUACAGAACCUAAAACUUAGGCUUUGAUACCAACUGUAACGACCCAACUUUUCUAGGUAAAUCGAGGUCAUUAAUUUUUAACAAAAGACUUUGAUUGAUACAAAAUGAAACGUAAGUCAAUUUUAAAAACAAAUUAUGUCAGGCCUGAUUUUCAAAUAUUCAAGAAAACAUAAAAAUAACACUAUUUACAAAUAAAAGUUUGUAAACUAAGUUUUUAGUACAUUUUAAACCUCACAAGAACCCAUAAGCGGAGCAAAAACACGUUUCCUAUGGCAUCACGCUUCCUUCCUGCCCCUCGCCUGUUUGCCGCCUUUAUUACCUUUGCCUGAAAAUUAAACAUAAGAAGGGUGAGUAUUUUAAAUACUCAGUAAGAGACCCUCUACUGGUCUCGUCAGGAGAAAAUAAAUUAUUAACGAUCUAUUGGGACACCCUGUACAGUCACAGUCUUGUGAUCCCGUAGGAUACAUAUCUCAGUCUAACGCCCCGAGGGACGUACAUAUCAGUCUAGUGUUCUGCAGAAACACAUAUCAGUCAAAUGCUCCCGAAGGUUCACAAUAAAUUGGUGAUCCCGUGGGACACCUACAAGGUAAACAUCCCAAUACAAUCUAACAAUUUAUCCCCUCAUUCCAUUCAACCCAUCUUUCAGUUACUUCAAGUCACAAAGUUCUUUCUUUCAACAUCCUAACAGUCAACUUAUUUUACUACAGUCAUAUGUCUGUCAAUAAUAUGCUAAUACAUCAGUCAAUCCACUAUACAGUCAAUGCACCCCUCAGUUCACCAGCACAAACCACAGUUCAGUAUAAUCCACAUCCAACCGAAACAAAUUCACUAGUUCACAUCCAAUCUUUAUACAGCACAAUCUAUUAAUAUCAUCAUGUACACAUAAGCAUAAUUUCAGUCAUUCACAUGUAUACUUUUGGCAAUCCACAUCAAUUCACACAUCAAUGUAUAUAUAUAUGUUUCCAGUCAAAUACAACAUACACUAAACAUUUAGUCUGCAAUCAAACAUGUACAUCUUAAUCAUCAUCCAUACAGUCCAACACAACUCAAAAACUUUAGGUGAGUCCAGUAGAAAGUCCCUUACCUGGAUCUUUAUGUAAAAUUCCUUAGUCGAACUACGAACUAACUUCAACAAACAAACCCCAAGAGUAAAGAAUCGAACUCCAACAAAGCUUAAGGCGUAACUCAAGGACACUAACUCCAAAUCACCGAUGUCACCUUCAAGAACAAAGAUCAAUUCAACCAAUUAAACAACAUCACAUCUUAAUGUAUUUACAAAUGUAAGACCUUAUUACCGAACAAUCUCAUCCUUACCAAUAUCUUGUAACAAGACUUUGACAAUCGACGUUAAAUAGAACUUGCCGCAGGAUCUACACAAAAGACAUCGUGCAAAACACUUCUGCACGCGAACCGGUCCGUGAUUCGUAAAUGGGACAGCGGGUAUCGACGAAGGCAGAACGGUUCGGACGUUCAACAGCAGUUACGCGCGGACGGGAGUAGCCCGGCAACGUAGCCGAACUCGUGCGAUGCGGCGUGACCUGCGUCGGCGAGGCUGUUCGUGACUGAGGCGUGCGACUUGCCUCGCGGACGGAGAUAGAGACGGCGGAGACGGUUGCAGAACCGUGGCUUCGACGGAGACAGACUCGGCUGCGACGGCUGGGCAGCGGCGGAAGAGCAACGGCGCCGCAGAUCUGGACCGGAUAGUUACGUGGCGGCUGCUGCAAGGCUGCUUCGCGAACGGAGAUGGAGAACGGAAUGGAGGUCGAGGCGCUCGGCUUUAGUAGGGGAGACGCGGCGGCCGACGGCUGCUGCGAACGGAAGACAAGAAGACGGUGGGGUCGUCGCGGCGCACGGGAGGAAGGAGAAGAGGGGCGGCGGUUGCGGCUGGGCACGAACGAAAGGAGAAGAGGACGGUUGGGGCGGUUGCUGCUGCGCGAACGGAGAGAAGGGGAAGGAGGGUCGCGGCGCACGGGAGGAAGAAAAAGAGAAUUUUCUUUUUCUUUUCUUUUAUUUAAUAAAAAUAUAAUUAUAAAUAUAUAUAUAUAUAUAUAUAUAUAUAUAUUUAUAUAAUUAUAUUAAUACAUUUUCAAAUCUUCUUUCUCUCCUUCAACAUAUUUUUUUAAAAAAAAUAUCUUGAACAAAUCGAAAUAAUUCUCUUAAAAUAAAAUACCUUCAAGUUUAGGGCGUUACAUUCUUCCCUCCUUAAGAAACUUUCGUCCUCGAAAGUUCUAAUCCUUAAAUAACUCUAGAUAACGAGUCAUCAUCUCUUCUUCUCGCUCCCAUGUCGCCUCUUCAAUUCGAUGAUUCUGCCACAAAACCUUUACUAAUGGAAUGCUUCUAUUACGAAGCAUCUUUACCUCUCUAGCCAGAAUCUCCACAGGUUGUUCUACAUAGCUCAAAUGCUCAUCAAUCUCCAAGGGUUCAUAGUCCACUACAUGAGAUGUAUCGGCCACAUACUUCCUCAACAUCGAAACAUGAAAAACAUUAUGAACUGCAGAGAGAGAUGGUGGUAAUGCCAAGCGAUACGCCACAACACCAACCCUCUCUAAGAUCUCAAAUGGUCCAACAAAACGAGGACUUAACUUUCCUUUCUUCUCAAAACGCAUAACACCCUUCAUAGGUGCUACCUUCAAGAAUACCUUUUCUCCCCACAUCGAACUUAAGGUCUUUUCACCGUACAUCUGCAUAACUCUUCUGUCUACUCUGCGCUGUUUGCAUACGCGUUCUAAUCUUUUGAAUAGCCUCAUUAGUAGACCGAACUAAUUCAGGUCCCAUCAACCUAUGUUCACCAACCUCACCCCAACAAACAGGGGUUCUACAACAUUUGCCAUACAAAGCCUCAAAUGGUGUCAUACCGAUGGUAGCCUGGAAACUGUUGUUAUAAGAAAACUCCAUCAAAUGUAGAUGAGAGUCCCAACUACCUGGAAACUCUAUAACACAAGCUCGUAGCAUAUCCUCUAAAACUUGGUUCAAACGUUCAGUUUGACCAUCAGUCUGUGGAUGAAAGGCUGUACUAAAAUCCAAUCUCGUACCCAUAGCAGUCUGAAGUCCCUUCCAAAACUUGGAAGUAAACCGUGCAUCCCUAUCAGAAACAAUCGAUACAGGCACUCCAUGCAGUCUCACAACCUCAGUUAAAUACAACUCUGCCCACUUACUAGCAGUAUAAGUGGAUUUCCCUGGUACAAAAUGUGCCGAUUUCGCAAGCCUGUCUAUGACAACCAGAAUCACUGUGAAACCCUUCAGGGUCUUAGGCAACCCUGAAAUAAAAUCCAUCGACACAUUCUCCCACUUCCACUCUGGCACACUUAAAGGUUGUAACAAACCUGCUGGUUUCUGUCUAGGUGUCUUAACUUGCUGACAUACUAAGCACUUACUAACAAGAUCUUCCAUUUCUCUCUUCAUAUUACGCUAGUAACAAACUCUUUUCAGAUCUGGAUACAUUUUUGUGCUACUUGGAUGCAUGAGAAAUGGCAAACUAUGAGUCUCAACCAAUAACCUUGUCUUAAUUGCAUUUUCUGUUGGCACACACAAUUUUCUUUCAAACAUAAGUUCAUCAUCAAAGGAUAUGGAAAACUCCUUAACUUGCCCUACUUCUACUAGGUGAUGCUUCUCAAUCAAAUAAGGAUCAAUGAAUUGAACCACAAGAAUUCUUUGUCUCAAGGUCGGAUGUACUGACAACUGAGCUAACUUUGAGGUGACUUCCCCCACUGAAACUACAAUCUCAGCUCUCUCGUGGUUUUUGUCUAAUGAAACCUGUCUGGUAAUAAGUGCUGUCAAAAUGUGAUACUUUUCUACGAAGAGCACCAACUUCCACAUUCGCCUUACCUAGAUGGUACAAAAUCUCACAAUCAUAGUCAUUUACUAACUGAAACCAUCUUUGCUAUCUCAUACUCAACUUCUUUUGAGUGAAGAAGUAUUUUAUACUCUUUUGGUUAGAAAAUAUCUAUAUAUUUUCAUCAUACAUAUAGUGCCUUCAAAUCAUUAAUGUAAAAACCACAACUGUCAAUUCCAUAUCAUAAGUUGGACAAUUUUUCUCACGAGGAGUACAAGCAACUACUUUAACUUGUUGAAUAAGAAUACCUUUUAAACUUUCCUAAAAGCAUCACUAUAAAUUACGGAACAUUCUGAACCAUCAUGUACGGUAAGCACGGGAGUUGUACAAGCUUCUGCUUAAGAUCCUGAACACUAUCCUCAUAGGCUUUGUCCCAAACAAACGGAGUCCCUUUUCUUAGUUAACUGAGUCAAAGGAGUAGCUAUACGAGAAAAUUCUUAUACAAACCGUCAGUAAUAACCUGCUGAACCCAAAAAGACUACGAACCUCACUGACUAUGAAAGGUUGAGGCCAACUGGUAACGACUUCAAUCUUUUAUGAGAUCCACAUAAAUGUCAUCUCUAGAUACCACAUGGCUUGGAAAGAUACUUGGCCUCAUCCAAAACUCACAUUUUGAAAACUUUGCAUACAAUUUGUUGACUCGAAGAGCCUCUAAAACCAUGUUAAAUGCUCCUCAUGCGCUGUCUCUAUUUUGGAAUAAAUUAAGAUAUCGUCAAUAAAUACAAUCACGAAAGUGUCUAAGAGAUCGUUAAACACUUUGUUCAUCAAGUCGUAAACAUUGUUUGAGCAUUUGCCAACUCAAAAGACAUCAUAAUGAACUCAUGAUGUCCAUAUCUCGAACGAAAAUCUGCCUUAGGAAUGUCACUGUUCUCUAAUCCUCAACAAGUCAUAACCUGAAUGUAAUUCAAUCUUAAAGAACACGGACUUAUUGCAGUUGAUCAAACAAAUCCUCAUUCAUUGGUAAAAGAUAUUUAUUCUUAACCGACACCUUAUUCAACUUUCUACAAUCAAAACAUAAGUGCAUCGACCCAUCUUUCUUCUUAAUAAACAAAAAUUGGUGCACCCCAAGAUAACAUACUUCGUCAAAUGUAGUCCUUGUCAAACAUUUCUUUCAAUUGCACCUUCAAAUCUUUCAACUCUGUUGGUGCCAUUUUGUAUGAAGCUUUAGAUAUAGGAACGAGUCUAACUCUAUCUCAAUAACAAGACCAAUUUCUGUUUAGCACGGUAAUCUUAGAAACUCUUCUAGAAAAAUAUCAUAAUACUUUUUCACCACUGAUUCAAAUAACAAAGAAACAUCGACUUCUCUGGUGUCUACCACACUAGUCAAAUACAACAGGUACCCUGGUCAAGCAACUUACUAACCUUCAUAGUUGGGAUAACUUUUAGCGAAACGAUAGUUCCAACCUCUUUGUACUUGAAACUAGCCUCUGGAGAAGAAUUAGAAACCACAUUUGCACUGAACAUUUUAUGUUUACAUGGUUAAACUACAUUCCAAUUUUCAAACUCCAAACUAGUAACUUUUCAUUCACGAGAAACUCAAAAUUGUUUCUUAAAGUCACAUCAAGACAACCAUGCUCAUCUUCCUUGUUUCUUUUCCAAUACCUCCAUUCUAAAACCAUUUAAUGUGUUUCGUAUAAACUUGACCGUGUAUUUAGUCCUCUUUAAAACCACCUACAUAACUUAUUUUUCUUAGAUUUCCAAUCACAAAACAGACAAUUUCGCUAACAACGUCUUACUUUUCUACUACUCGACCACCCCUUUGAACACGUCUACAUGGCAACAUUUUUCCUAAAUUUCACCAUUAAAUCCUUCACCAUUAAAUCAUAACAUUCAUGUAAUUCUAGUUUAACUUAGGCAAGGUCAUAUACAUAAACCAUACAUAUAAGCAUAAAGCAUACCUGACGAGAGACGAAGGGUCGCGUUAGCCAUAGGGACACAAAAACAUAGACUUACAUCGUAAGUCAGUCUACAGAACCUAAAACUUAGGCUCUGAUACCAACUGUAACGACCCAACUUUUCUGGGUAAGUCGAGGUCGUUAAUUUUUGAACAAAAGACUUUGGUUGAUACAAAUUGAAACAUAAGUCAAUUUAAAAACAAAACAUGUCAGGCCUGAUUUUCAAAUAUUCAAGAAAACUUAACAAUAACACUAUUUACAAAUAAAAUUUUGUAAACUAAGUUUUAGUACAUCUUAAACCUUAAAAGAAAUCAUAAGCGGAAGCAAAAUAACACAUUCCCUAUGGCAAUCACGCUUCCUUCCUGCCCCUCGCCGGUUUGCCACCUUUAUUUCCUUUGCCUGAAAAUUAAACAUAAGAAGGGUGAGUAUAACAAUACUCAGUAAGAGACCCUCUACUGGUCUCUUCAUGGGAAAAUAAAUUGUUAAAGUUCUAUUGGGACACCUUGUACAGUCGCAGUCUUGUGAUCCCGUAUGAUACACAUUUCAGUCUAACGCCCCGAGGGACGUACAUAUCAGUCUAACGCCCUGAGGGACGUACAUAUCAGUCUAACGCCCCGAGGGACGUACAUAUCAGUCAAGUGUUCUACAGAAACACAUAUCAGUCAAAUGCUCCCGAAGGUGCAAAAUAAAUUGGUGAUCCCGUGGGACACCUACAAGGUAAACAUCCCAAUACAACCUAACAAUUUAUCCCCUCAUUCCAUUCAACCCAUCUUUCAGUUACUUCAAAUCACAAAGUCCUUUCUUUCAACAUCCUAACAGUCAACUUAUUUUACUACAAUCAUAUGUCUGUCAAUAAAAUGCUAAUACAUCAGUCAAUCCACUAUACAGUCAAGUCAAUACACCCCUCAGUUCACCAGCACAAACCACAGUUCAGUAUAAUCCACAUCCAACCGAAACAAAUUCACUAGUUCACAUCCAAUCUUUAUACAGCACAAUCUAUUAAUAUCAUCAUGUACACAUAAGCAUAAUUUCAGUCAUUCACAUGUAUACUUUUGGCAAUCCACAUCAAUUCACACAUCAAUGUAUAUAUAUAUGUUUCCAGUCAAAUACAACAUACACUAAACAUUUAGUCUGCAAUCAAACAUGUACAUCUUAAUCAUCAUCCAUACAGUCCAACACAACUCAAAAACUUUAGGUGAGUCCAGUAGAAAGUCCCUUACCUGGAUCUUUAUGUAAAAUUCCUUAGUCGAACUACGAACUAACUUCAACAAACAAACCCCAAGAGUAAAGAAUCGAACUCCAACAAAGCUUAAGGCGUAACUCAAGGACACUAACUCCAAAUCACCGAUGUCGCCUUCAAGAACAAAGAUCAAUUCAACCAAUUAAACAACAUCACAUCUUAAUGUAUUUACAAAUGUAAGACCUUAUUACCGAACAAUCUCAUCCUUACCAAUAUCUUGUAACAAGACUUUGACAAUCGACGUUAAAUAGAAGUUGCCGUAGGAUCUACACAAAAGACAUCGUGCAAAACACUUCUGCACGCGAACCGGUCCGCGAUUCGUAAAUGGGACAGCGGGUAUCGACGAAGGCAGAACGAUUCGGACGUUCAACAGCAGUUAUGCGCGGACGGGAGUAGCCCGGCAACGUAGCCGAACUCGUGCGAUGCGGCGUGACCUGCAUCGGCGAGGCUGUUCGUGACUGAGGCGUGCAACUUGCCUCGCGGACGGAGAUAGAGACGGCGGAGACGGUUGCAGAACCGUGGCUUCGACGGAGACAGAACCGGCUGCGACGGCUGGGCAGCGGCGGAAGAGCAACGGCGCCGCAGAUCUGGACCGGAUAGUUACGCGGCGGCUGCUGCAAGGCUGCUUCGCGAACGGAGAUGGAGAACGGAAUGGAGGUCGAGGCGCUCGGCUUCAGUAGGGGAGACGCGGCGGCCGACGGCUGCUGCAAACGGAAGAGAAGAAGACGGUGGGGUCGUCGCGGCACACGGGAGGAAGGAGAAGAGGGGCGGCGGUUGCGGCUGGGCACGAACGGAAGGAGAAGAGGACGGUUGGGGCGGUUGCUGCGCGAACGGAGAGAAGGGGAAGGAGGGUCGCGGCGCACGGGAGGAAGAAAAAGAGAAUUUUCUUUUUCUUUUCUUUUAUUUAAUAAAAAUAUAAAAUAUAUAUAUAUAUAAUUAUAUUAAUACAUUUUCAAAUCUUCUUUCUCUCCUUCAACAUAUUUUUUUAAAAAAAAUAUCUUGAACAAAUCGAAAUAAUUCUCUUAAAAUAAAAUACCUUCAAGUUUAGGGCGUUACAGUUCGAUUCGAUUUCUAUUUCAAAAAAACCACAUAAAAUUCGAUUCGGUUCAGUUUAAGAUGUUAAGAACCGAUUCUCAAACCGAACUGAAUUGCUUUAUUUUAAAAACUAAAUAUAUAUAUAUAUAUAUAUAUAUGUUAAUAAUAAGACUUUUUUAGACUUCAAAGCGGGUAUAGAGGCAAAAAUAAAUGAGAGGAACGAAAAGGAGAAGAAUGACAUAAUCAAAACGUAAAUGACAAGUUGUCUUGACGAAGUUUGUAUGACUGUAGGACUUUUAUUCAUCUUAGGUGGAUUUUAAAACUUCUAUGUGUUGUUGGACUUUCAAAUUUCAAUGUUUGAAACAUCUAUGUCUGUAAUUUUGAAAUUUCUAUGUUUAUAACUUUGUAUAAGCCGUUCGGUUUUGAUUUGAUUUUAUUUAUGUAUAUGUGGUUCGGUUUUCAUUCGGUUUGGCAUAGAUGAGCGGUUCGGUUCGGUUUCAAUGAAGAUUUUUUUUAUCAUUUUGCGGUUCGAUGCGGUUUUAGCUUCAAACCGAACCGCGAACAACACUAAUAUGUAAUGUUGAGAUCAACUGAAUAUGUUUGUAAUGUAGGGACUUUGAUGAAAGAAUUAAAGAUUCAGGAAAUUGUAUGAAAAAAAUGGUUGAAUGUUAAAUUGACUUAUGAAUAGUGUAUAUGAAACAAUACAUUAUAUAUUUUAUGAAUGAAAUGUUAUGCAAUCAAUUUGUUAAACUGGUUUAUUUAUUUUAUUUCAAAUAUUUAUUUUAUAUGUAAUAAAUAAUAAGUUAUGUUUGAAACAACAGUAUAAGGAUAUAUCAUAAUAUAUAUUGUUCAUUUAAGGUUAGUAAGAAUUUUAUAUUUUGUAUUUGAAAUAUACUAUGAUAUACUGAGUACAUCAAAGAUGACAUCAUUUAUGUACUAUUGAAAAUAUGAAGUAGUAUAUAUAUGUAACAAAUCACAUAAGAUAUAUGUAUCAUGUACUAGUAUAUACGUCAUUAUUUAUAUAUACACACCUAAUGAAAAAAAGUAGAGUGUGUGGGACCCACGUAUAUAAAUAAUGAGAAAAUAAAAAAUGUUGGCCCAAUGUAAUAUAUAUAUAAAGUAAAAAAUAAACUAUGUAGGGUCCACUGCAUGAAAAUUGUGUAGGGGUACAAAACUUCACCUCAACUCACCUAUUUUUGUCAAUAGUUUUGCAUUCACCUACUUUUGACAUAUGUUUCAAAAUUUACAUUAUUUUUUAAAAAAAGUACUAUACAUAAUAAAUAAUAACUCGUGAUUGAAACAAGAGUGGUUAUGUAUGAAGGAUAGUAUAUUAAAUAUAAUAAAUUGAAAAACUUUGAUUGGUACCGUAGAUGAAAAUUUAUGAAAAAAUAUAGAAAUAAAAUAACUAAAUUAAAAACUGAAAUAUGAAUAUUUCAAAUAAAAGUAUAAAUCAACAUACUAAAAGUUUAAUAAUAAGAAAGAAAAAUUAGUUCAAUAAGUAAAGCUUGCAUCUCUUUCGUUUAUGACAACCACAUUUAAAACUUCAUUUUAGAAUGAAUUCUAAUAUUUUUUUGUUGACCAACUGAACGUUUUACAUUCAAUGGGAUGAUGUCAACUUCAAUUACUGUAUAAUUGAAUAUAUGCAUUAGUGUGUAUGUAACAAAUCAAAUAAAAUACUAAUCGAAUAUAGAAAAAUAUAAAGAAAAUGAUACAAAACGUGAAGGAAAAAAACUGAACUAUAUAUGUGUCACAAAAUACGUGUUAUUAUAUUUAUAUAAAUGUAUAUAUUGAUAACAUCACCUGUCUAUGUAGUGAUAUAUAUUGAAAUUCAACUAUAAAUUAUGUAGAACUAUAUGUCACUAAAUAUUUAUGUUGUAAAUAAGGUGUAUCUAUAUAUUAAAUCACAUCAUAAACAUAUUAUAAUUUACGAGUAUAUUAUAGUAUAUAUUGUUCAUUUAAAAGAUAUAUGACAAAUAGAAGGUAUAUAAUUAUACGAAGUGAGAAUAUGUAUGUAUGAUAUUCUCACUACAUAUUAUAUAUACACUAAGAAUGUGUAUUUUACUGUUUUAGUAGUAUUUACUAUAUAAAUAUAUAUUUUAAAUAUUAAUUAUUAAUGAAUAUAUAGUUUACUACAUGUUGUUACAACAUACUUAAGAUAUAAAUGUUUAUAUGACUAACAACAUAAUAUUACUAUAAGAUAAACAAAAAAAUAAAGAACAGAUUGAAUUGAAAAAUAUUUUCGAUUAUUGUAUGUCACUAUAUAUGUCUGAUUGUAUAUAUCUCUAAGAAAUAUUACAUAAUGAGGUAGUAUAUAUGUAACAAAUCACAUAAUAUAUAUGUAUUAUGGAGUAGUAUAAAUGUAAUUGUUGAGCAAGAAAUUUCAACCAAUGAAAUUACACCACGUCGUCGCACCCAAGUUGUGAUGAUUAUAAUUUGAUUGGAUUUGGGUAGUCAAGUUUUCCAACCCAAUUCAAGCCCCUGAUAAAAAAUCAGGCCAAACAAGGGGCCUAAGCCCACUAAGAAAAUGGGCCCAAGCCCAAGUCCAAGCUCAACAACUCAACAAGCAAAUGGGUCCAAGCCCACAUAAAGUCCACAAAUUUUCUCUAUAAGUAGAGACCUUUGUCAUUCAUUCGAGAGAUCUUUUGUUGAAGGAAGAAAUGAAGCUCUGAAGUAGUGAAGCUUUGAAGAAUUGAAGAUUCAAACUUCUAUAGAGCUCUCAAGACGUGCAAGUUCUGAUCAACUUCGAGAUCAUCAUCUUGUGAAAUAUUGAAGACUUGGAAAAUCAAAAUUUCCUUGAAUUCUAGAAGACUGAAGCUGAAAUAGACCGAACCAUUUAAAUUCAGUUUGGACUAUUUGAGACAGCAACAAACUUUGUUUUUUGUUUUGUACAUAAAUGGUGUGGUUUGAUUCGGUUUUAACAAGCGGUUCAAUUUAUACCGUUUAGACUUGAUCUUAUAUAAUGUGAAAUUAUUUUUUUUUCUUUGAAUUUUUAUCUAAGUGUACUCAAAUUGUAUACCAUGUUACAAAAUUAAUUGCAAUAAAAUUUUUAAAAUUUUCAAAAAUAUAAUAAAUUGACUAAUAUUUUAUACAAAUAUAGAGUAAAAAUGACCAAUUUACUCUUUUUAUUAUUAAUAAUAUAUUAAAAAUAAAAAGAAAAGUGAACCACGUUUAAGAUUUUCAUUUAUUAAAUAUUAUAUGAAAAUAUGGAUUAAAUUCUAUUAAAGUAAUAUUAAUAAUAAAAAUUGUCCUUAGUUUGCUUUUUAUGAUUUUAUUAAAAAAUUGUCCUUUUUUAUUUUGCAUUCUUUUUCAUAUAUUUUAUAUAAUUAUAGUAUAUAUUAAAUAAUAUAAUGUAUAUUUUAUUUGUGAAAUGUUCUUAUAUCAAUUUAUUUAUUUAUUUUAUAUAAAUAUUCAUAUCUUACGUAGUAAAUAAUACAUUAUGUUUGAAAUAAUAUUAAUUAUAUAUGAAAGUUGUUUAUGUUUACAAGAACAUGAAUGAGAAAUAAUUAUGAUGAGUAUAUGUAAUAUAUGUCAUUAAAAUAUUUGUUAUUCUCUAGUAUAUGUAAUAGGGGUGUUCAAAAUGAAGUUGAAAACUGAAUCGAAUCACUAAUCGAACCGAAAUCGAAUGCAUAUGGUUCGGUUCGAUUCGAUUUUUAUUUCAAAAAAACCACAUAAAAUUCGGUUCGGUUCAGUUUAAGAUGUUAAGAACCGAUUCUCAAACCGAACUGAAUUACUUAAUUUUAAAAACUAUAUAUAUAUAUAUAUAUGUUAAUAAUAAGACUUUUUUAGACUUCAAAGCGGGUAUAGAGGCAAAAAUCAAUGAGAGGAACGAAAAGGAGAAGAAUGACAUAAUCAAAACGUAAAUGACAAGUUGUCUUGACGAAGUUUGCAUGACUGUAGGACUUUUAUUCAUCUUAGGUGGAUUUUAAAACUUCUAUGUGUUGUUGGACUUUCAAAUUUCAAUGUUUGAAACAUCUAUGUCUGUAAUUUUGAAAUUUCUAUGUUUAUAACUUUGUAUAAGCCGUUCGGUUUUGAUUUGAUUUUAUUUAUGUAUAUGUGGUUCGGUUUUCAUUCAGUUUGGCAUAGAUGAGCAGUUCGGUUCGGUUUCAAUGAAGAUUUUUUUUAUCAUUUUGCGGUUCGAUGCGGUUUUAGCUUCAAACCGAACCGCGAACAUCACUAAUAUGUUGUAACGACCCAACUUUUCUAAGUACGUCGAGAUCGUUAAUUUUUAACAAAUAAAGACUUUGAUUAAUAUAAAACAAAACGUAAGCAAUUUAAAACAAAACAUCUUCAAGUCAGGCCUGAUUUUUAAACAUUCAAGAAAACAUAAAAUAAUACUAUUUACAACCAACGUUUGUAAACUAAAUUUCAAUUCAUUUUAAACCUCACAAGAACCCAUAAGCGGAAGCAAAAACACGUUUCCUAUGGCAUCACGCUUCCUUCCUGCCCCUCGCCUGUUUGCCGCCUUUAUUACCUUUGCUGAAAAUUAAACAUAAGAAGGGUGAGUAUAACAAUACUCAGUAAGAGACCUUCUACUGGUCUCGUCAGGGGAAAAUAAAUUGUUAAAGUUCUAUUGGGACACCCUGUACAGUCGCAGUCUUGUGAUCCCGUAGGAUACACAUCUCAGUCUAACGCCCCGAGGGACGUACAUAUCAGUCUAACGCCCCGAGGGACGUACAUAUCAGUCUAACGCCCCGAGGGACGUACAUAUCAGUCUAGUGUUCUGCAGAAACACAUAUCAGUCAAAUGCUCCCGAAGGUGCAAAAUAAAUUGGUGAUCCCGUGGGACACCUACAAGGUAAACAUCCCAAUACAAUCUAACAAUUUAUCCCCUCAUUCCAUUCAAUCCAUCUUUCAGUUACUUCAAAACAUAGAGUUCUUUCUCUCAACGUCCAAACAGUCAACUUAUCUCACUUUAGUCAUAUGUCUGUCAAUAAUAUACUUAUACGUCAGUCAAUCAAACUAUACAGUCAAUACACCCCUCAGAUCACCAGCACACAGUCAUACUUUAGCGUAACGUACACCCAAUCUAAACGACAAUCACAAGAUCGCAUCUGCAUCUCAUACAAGCACAAUCUACAACAUCACCUGUCUAUGUAGUGAUAUAUAUUGAAAUUCAACUAUAAAUUAUGUAGAACUAUAUGUCACUAAAUAUUUAUGUUGUAAAUAAGGUGUAUCUAUAUAUUAAAUCACAUCAUAAACAUAUUAUAAUUUACGAGUAUAUUAUAGUAUAUAUUGUUCAUUUAAAAAAUAUAUGACAAAUAGAAGGUAUAUAAUUAUACGAAGUGAGAAUAUGUAUGUAUGAUAUUCUCACUACAUAUUAUAUAUACACUAAGAAUGUGUAUUUUACUGUUUUAGUAGUAUUUACUAUAUAAAUAUAUAUUUUAAAUAUUAAUUAUUAAUGAAUAUAUAUGUAACGACCCAACUUUUCUAGGUAAGUCGAGGUCAUUAAUUUUUAACAAAAGACUUUGGUUGAUACAAAAUGAAACGUAAGUCAAUUUAAAAACAAUUUAUGUCAGGCCCGAUUUUCAAAUAUUCAAGAAAACUUAAAAAUAACACUAUUUACAAAUAAAAGUUUGUAAACUAAGUUUUAGUACAUCUUAAACCUCAAAAGAAACCAUAAGCGGAAGCAAAAUGACACAUUUCCUAUGACAAUCACGCUUCCUUCCUGCCCCUCGCCGGUUUGCCACCUUUAUUUCCUUUGCCUGAAAAUUAAACAUAAGAAGGGUGAGUAUAACAAUACUCAGUAAGAGACCCUCUACUGGUCUCGUCAGGGGAAAAUAAAUUGUUAAAGUUCUAUUGGGACACCCUGUACAGUCGCAGCUUGUGAUCCCGUAGGAUACACAUCUCAGUCUAACGCCCCGAGGGACGUACAUAUCAGUCUAACGCCCCGAGGGACGUACAUAUCAGUCUAACGCCCCGAGGGACGUUCAUAUCAGUCUAGUGUUCUGCAGAAACAUAUAUCAGUCAAAUGCUCCCGAAGGUGCAAAAUAAAUUGGUGAUCCCGUGGGACACCUACAAGGUAAACAUCCCAAUACAACCUAACAAUUUAUCCCCUCAUUCCAUUCAAUCCAUCUUUCAGUUACUUCAAAACAUAAAGUUCUUUCUCUCGACGUCCUAACAGUCAACUUAUCUCACUUUAGUCAUAUGUCUGUCAAUAAUAUACUAAUACGUCAGUCAAUCAAACUAUACAGUCAAUACACCCCUCAGUUCACCAGCACAAACCACAUUUGAGUACAAUCCACAUCCAACCGAAACAAAUUCACUAGUUCACAUCCAAAUCUUUAUACAGCACAAUCUAUUAAUAUCAUCAUGUACACAUAAGCAUAAUUUCAGUCAUUCACAUGUAUACUUUCGGCAAUCCACAUCAAUUCACACAUCAAUGUAUAUAUAUAUGUUUCUAGUCAAAUACAACAUACACUAAACAUUUAGUCUGCAAUCAAACAUGUACAUCUUAAUCAUCAUCCAUAUAGUCCAACACAACUCAAAAACUUUAGGUGAGUCCAGUAGAAAGUCCCUUACCUCAAAGUUGGGGAAACUCCUUAAUCAACUAACGUCCUCGAAACAAUCCUAAGCACAACAACACAAAAUUCAAUUACUUUCACGAUACAUAUCUCACUUACUUUCCUCAACGUAAGUUCCAACUCACCGAUAUACUGGCGAACUGAACCCUCAACAAUUCACAAAUUGAUUGUGAAUUUAAGGGAGCCCAACGUUACUCCCAACACCUCAACGCACGACUGUCGAACUCGCAGCAAAAAUCCUAAGUGUGGGUCGGUCAGCGGUCGGCCAAAUGAGAUGUGGCGGCUGGGCUUCACGGAUGGAGACCGUCGCGGACAGACCGCGAAUCUGAAUGGUUACAGCAAUUCUGAACGGUUACAGCAAAUCUGAACGGUUACAGCAACUAGUCGGCCGACGUGGAUAGCAGGUGGAGCGGCAGUUGUGAGCGGGGAGCGUGGCGGUUACUGGUUCACGCGGCGGCCUUGGCUUCGACAGAGACAGAACCGGCUGAGACGGCUGGGCAGCGGCGGAAGAGCAACGGCUGCAGCGGCGGAAGGUCUUGCGGUACAGAUCUAGACGGCGGCCGCAAGGUGACGCGUACGGCUGCCUCGCGAACUGGCCGAUGGUUGCAGCGACGUCCGGCUGGGUUUGGACGGAACGGAGAGGAGAAGAGAAGAUGGAGAUGGCCGGCGACGGUUGCUGUGCGAACGGAUGGAGCGGCUGGGCUGCGGCGGGAAGAAAACGGAGGAGAAAGGAUCGGCGGCUGGGCUGCGGCUGCGCACGAACGGAAGGAGAAGAGGAAUGGAGGUCGGCCGGUGGCGGUUGCUGCGCUGCGAACGGGGAGAGGGGAAGGGCGCACGGCGCACGGGAGGAGAAGAGAAGAGAAAAGAAAAAGAAAAAGAAAAAGAAAAAAGAAAAAAAAAUAAUAAAAAAUUUCUUUAUUAUUAUUAUUAUUUUUUUUUAAAUUAAUAAAAAUAAUAUAUAUACCUUUCCUUCUUUUCCUCUUUUUCUUCCUCUCUUCUUGGGGCAUUACAUUCUUCCCUCGUUAAGAAACUUUCGUCCUCGAAAGUUUUAAUCUUGAAAUAACUCUGGAUAACGAGUCCUCAUCUCUUCCUCUCGCUCCCAUGUCGCCUCUUCAAUUCGAUGAUUCCGCCACAAAACCUUUACUAAUGGAAUGCUUCUAUUACGAAGCAUCUUCACCUCUCUAGCCAGAAUCUCCACAGGUUGUUCUACAUAGCUCAAAUGCUCAUCAAUCUCCAAGGGUUCAUAGUCUACUACAUGAGAUGUAUCGACCACAUAUUUCCUCAACAUCGAAACAUGGAAAACAUUAUGGACUGCAGAGAGUGGUGGUGGUAACGCCAAGCGAUACGCCACAACACCAACCCUCUCUAAGAUCUCAAAUGGUUCAACAAAUCGAGGACUUAACUUCCCUUUCUUCUCAAAACGCAUAACACCCUUCAUUGGUGCUACCUUCAAGAAUAUCUUUUCUCCCACAUCAAACUUAAGGUCUUUUCGCCGUACAUCCGCAUAACUCUUCUGUCUACUUUGCGCUGUUUGCAUACGCGUUCUAAUCUUUUGAAUAGCCUCAUUAGUAGACCGAACUAAUUCAGGUCCCAUCAACCUAUGUUCACCAACCUCACUCCAACAAACAGGGGUUCUACAACAUUUGCCAAAGAAAGCCUCAAAUGGUGUCAUACCGAUGGUAGCCUGAAAACUGUUGUUAUAAGCAAACUCCAUCAAAUGUAGAUGAGAGUCCCAACUACCUGGAAACUCUAUAACA
rnacentral:lncRNA from 1 species